GGGACCGGCUUUAAGGUAACAUCAAAGAAAAUGUGUAAGAACCUUAGUUAGCAGUUACCCUCAUAAUGGGCUUUUAAAUUCUGUUGGUCAUCCAAAUGACAGAUGCGCAUGUUAAAACCUGAGAAGAUUAAACAGAGUGACUUGUUUUUAUCUUGUUUUAAUCAGAGACAGGCGAAAGUGAACAAGUAAUAGUCAUUGUUGCUGUGUUAAUGGUCUCUGUGGUCUGGGCCACAGUGAACUCACAUAGAAUAAUUAUCCAUUAUUGCUAUUACCAUUGCUACUAUUAUAAUAUGUAGUUUUUAUUGUUUAGUUAGCCUGUUAAUGUUAUGCUCAGUUGAGAGGAAGGUUGUAGGAGAGGAUGACCUACAAUGUAUGUUAGUUUUGUCUCAAACCAAACCACACAGCUUCUUGACACUGCUAUAUUCGGCAAUCUCGGAUCAUUUGCAAAUGUUCAGUUUCUUUACUUUUUUUAUUUUUCCCAUUGGUAGUAAUUUUACUAUCACCCCUCUGUCCAUGUUGUAGCCCAUGGCUAGGACCAGCUUGGUUAUUAUUUUAAUGCUUACAUUACUUCCUGUUAAAACUUAUAUUAAAGGUGAAUGCAUAUUAAUAUAUAUACAUAUAAUAUACUGUUUUUACACUCACUUUUAUUAUUUAACUACUUGUGACAUUAAAAUACUACCAUCUUUAUUUUGCUCUGCUGCUAGUGCUAGUGUGAAAGAAGAGUGGCAGUGUGUGUUGUGAUGGGGGCAUAGAUGGAAAGUGUGCUGUUUUUGAGAAUUUUAUGACCUAUUAAAUCCAACAUUUCGGAGGUUUAGCAGAUCAAAAGUGUAUUGUAACUGUGGUUUAUAGAGGCCUGUCAGGUCACGCUGUUGUCAUUUAUUAAACUUUGAGCUGUAGUAUGUGUGAAUAAUGUGACAACAGUUGAAUAAUUUAUUUAAGUAGUUGUUAUGAUAAUGUAUUGAAAAGUGUUGAAUAUCAUAUUCCUAGCUCAUUGUUGCACCAUUUUUUCCCAUGAUGCAUUGAAAUUUUCUUUAUUGAAUCGUAUUUAAGAACAAACGGUUAAUUUUAUUGUCUUGACACUUUAAAGAAUUAUGUGUGUCCUCCCACCCCACAGUGGCAUGUUUUUAUCUUAACUCCUUCUCUUACCACUGCACCACUUUAUUAUAUUGCUGACUCAUGUGAUCCUGGUUGUUUACACUGUCCUGAAAGACACUCAGCCAUCAAUUGCCAACCUGCUCACAGGAAUUGAAAAUGCCAGUACUUACCAUGUAUGCAUAUAUAUGAAAGAGAGAGAGAGAGCUAGCUAUGUAGCAAUAGUAGGACUAUAUGAUAUUGUUGUAUGUAUUUUCUGAAAGCCAACUUGUAUGGGAUAGAGCACUAUAUAAAUGCAAUCUACUAUUUUUACUAUUAUUACAUUGUAGGGCCUACUUGUAACUGUUAGAACGCAAUUAGCACAUGUAGACCCACUCUUAUUUUUUAAAGUUCAAAUAUACUCUGCUUUUGAGUAAGUAUAGGUUAUUAUGUAGUUGCGAGAAUUAUAAAACCUCUACUAAAAACAAAACAGUAAAUAUAGGUUAUACACGCAGCGAGAUUUGCAGAAUGUGAAAAUAUUUUCGUUAUGUACGAGUUUUGCUAUACAAAAUACAGGCUAUAUCAAGGGAGAUAAACAAACAAAAAAUACCUGGCGAAUGGGUCAAAAUUUUACAUUAUAAGUACCCCUUACGCCACGACAGCUUGGGUUCAUAGUCACUUUUGUUGUAUUUACCUCCACUUUGCGUGUCGUUCACGAAGUGUCUCGAGUUCUCGUGCACAAUCCAACUCCACGACCGUUAGUGACUUUGUUCUUCCCUAGCCAGGAGUUACCAGGUUGUCAGUAAGAAAACCAACACAAAGGCUAAUGCUGCAUCUCUCCCCUUGAAGUAAGAGACGUUUAUACACAGCUUUGUACAUUUCACAAACUCUGUUGUUUGCAUUUAACUCGAAACGACGAAUUAACUUAGAAAUAAAAAUAAAUGUUCGAGGACAAUGUCAGCUCCCCUGAGGUGUCCUUUUAUUCUCUUGAGUAUUCUACAAAUCAAGCCUCUGAGGUGUCCUUUUAUUCUCUUGAGUAUUCUACAAAUCAAGCCUCUGAGGUGUCCUUUUAUUCUCUUGAGUAUUCUACAAAUCAAGUCUCUGAGGUGUCCUUUUAUUCUCUUGAGUAUUCUACAAAUCAAGUCUCUGAGGUGUCCUUUUAUUCUCUUGAGUAUUCUACAAAUCAAGCCUCUGAGGUCGCUUAAUGGUUCUCCUGAAGCUACUAGUGUGGGUGGCAGCUUGAGGAGUUGUUGUAUAGGUGGGGACCUGAUGGGAAUCCCUGAAGCAUCUUGUUCGAGGUCCUGCAUGGGUCUUUGUUCACCCUGAGGUGUAGCUGGUAGGCCUACAUGUGUUAAAGACAUUCUGUUUCUGCGCAGUGGCGAGUUGCUGUUUUCAGGCUGAAUGGUGUACGUUCUCGGGUUGUGAUGAUGUUUGAUUACCCUUGCGUUCCGUCCCAUAUCUUUGAUAAAGAUGUUAUCUCCAGGAUUCAGUUCAGGUUGUGGUUUCCUGGCGAGGUGGCGUGUGUAGUAUCUAUUAUCUGUUUCCUGGAAAAGUUUUGAGUUGAAAGAUUGCGGGUGUAGUUUUUGUUCCAUGAUGGGCAACUUUGUUUGCAAUUUCCUACCCAUCAAUAGCUCACUAGGUGAAAACUUGUUGAGAAGAGGAGUGCGAUGUAGGGGUCAUCGGCUUUUUCCACAGAUUCUUUAGUGUUUUGAUUGCUUGCUCAAUCAUGCAGUUGCUUUGAUGAUAGAGGGGUGAGCUGGUUACAUGAGUAAAAAUCCAUAAUUGAGCGCAAAUUUCUGAACUUUGUGCUUGCAAACUGUGGACCAUCGUCGGGCACUAUGACAUCAGGUAUUCCAUGUGUCUCUAUAAUGGACUUCAGCUUGUUGAUCACCUGUGCACUAGAUAGCUCUUCCAGUAUUCUUAUUUCUGGCCAUCUGGAGUAGUAGUCUGUUAUAGUCAGGUAAGUUUUGCCUUUGUUUGAGGUAGAACAGAUCUGUGCCACAUGUGACCAGGGUCGGUUCGGGAAGGAGGACGGAAGAAGUGAUUCCCUGACAUCCUGUCUCAGUCUGGCGCAGACCAGGCAUUUCUUGAUCAUGUCUUCAAUUAUACUAGAGAUAUUAGGCCACCAAACUCUGUUGUGUGCUAGUGCCCUGCAUUUGGUUACUCCAAGAUGACUUUCUUGAAGUCGGUUGGAAGUGUCCAUUCUUAACUCUCGAUUCUAUCAUUGAAGAGAAGGAGGUCAUUCACGAUUGUGAAGUGUUGCUGGUUGGACCAAUAUUGUUUAAGAAGUGUGUUGGCAGGCAUGCAUAUAUGCUGGCCAUCCGGUGUUGCAGUAUUUGCGGAUUUCAGAGAUUUCUGGAUCAGCCUUUUGAUGGACUAUUAUUUCUGCUAUAUUCGUGAGGUUGCUAGAAGUGAGUUGAAGAUUUGCUCCUUCAUGGCUUGAACCUCUUCGUGGAAGCAGAUGUCUGCCUCACUGGGAUCAUUUAACAGCUCUUGAUAUAGAGUCUGUAAUCUGGGUUUUGCCUGAGACGUGAACAACUUCUUUAUUGAAUGGAGCAAGUCGGAGGCGAAAUCGUAGGAUGCGAGGUGGUAACUUGGAAAGCUCUUUAAACAUUAAAGGAGUAAUGAGGGGCUUGUGAUCAGUCUCUAUUGUGUACUGAAGACCUUGAACGUAUUCACUGAGUCUUUCGGACGCCCAAGUCACUGCCAAGGUUUCUUUCUCGAUGACUGCAUACCGCCUUUCAGUCUCUUUCAAAGUGCGGGAUAUGUAACACACAGGCUUUAUAGAACCGUCAGUCUGGACUUGAAUAAGGACAGCUCCUAAUCCUUCUUCGAUGCGUCAGCUGCAAUGAUGGUUUUCAGUUCCGAAGAGUAGUGUGCUAGCACAGGGGCUGUUGUAAGUUGUUCUUUGAUGGUUUUGGAAGCAUUCACCUGUGGCUGCUCCCAUGUCCAUUCAUUGUUCUUCUUGAGAAGCGAGCACAGAGGGUUUGUCAUUGAUGCUAAACUCAGGGCGAACUUCGUGAUUUGGUUGAUCAUGCAUAGAAAUCUUUGUAAUUCUGUGGCAUUUUGAGGUUGUGGAAGAUUCACGAUGGCUUUGACCUUGGGACAGCUGUUUGAUAACCUGACUGAGCCACAGCAGAGAUGUGCUGAUGGAGCAAUUUUCCUUUCUACAGCCGCCAAUGUUGUCCUCGGCCCUCUCACUGCCCGCCAAGUUAACCAGAUUCAAAGCUGUGUAUGUUUCUUACUUCAAGGGGAGAAAUGUAGCAUUAGCCUAUGUGUUGGCUUUCUUUGAAGAGGUCAGUGCGAGCCUGGCGGUCGUUAAUUCCUGUAACAAUCUUGUCUCGUAUUAAAGAAUCUCUACAAUCAUUGCAAAAAUUGCAGCUCUUGGCCAGACGUCAAAAUCUGCAAGAAAUGUAUGAAAAUGAAAGGUUUCAUCUUGCGCUUGAUUUCUUUUGUUAAAUUUGAACCGUUCGUAUGUUUCGUUCUGUUCUCCUAUGACAAAUUCAUCAAAUUUAUGGAUGAUCUCUUGAAGUGUACGUCCGUCUUCACUUGUGAAUUGAAACCUAUUGUGGAUUCUGAGAGCUUCAUCAUCGAGGCUAUGAAAAAAUAGGGCUACCUGGAACUUGUGUUCUAAGCAUUCCAGGCAUGAUAGAAGGGCAUAUGUAUUCCAUCUUUGAAUAAUUUUCAGUUCUCCACUGGAUUAGACCCCUGGACCAGUUUGUCUGGGGUGGUCUGAUGCCUGCAAUUAUCAGUUUUGUGGUUUCAUCUGCAGCAGCUCUGGUUUCUGGAGAUAUAGAUAUAUCAUUUCAUGACAAGCUUACCUUGCCAUAAAUGUACCGUCCUUUGGAAAUAUGCACAGUCCUUAAGAAAUAUGCACCGUCCGUUUGAAUGUGUUUAGAAAAUCACCGCCUCCACCAUAUUGUAUUUACCUCCACUUGGCGUGUCGUUCACGAAGUGUCUUGAGUUCCCGUGCGCAAUCCAACUCCACGACCGCUAGUGACGUUCUUCCCUAGCCAGGAGUUGUCAGUAAGAAAGCCAACCCAUAGGCUAAUGCUACAACUUUUGUUUGUAGAUCUGGGUUUUUACAUUGAUUUUUUAACUACUCAUACCCUCACUAUUUCUUGACCGAAGAACCUUUCUGCUUCUUUCACUCUGCCAUGGUCCACUCUCUACUACAGCUUCACCUAAACCAGACCCAUUCACAUGCAACUGAUUUCUGAACUGUGAAGCUUAGAUCCUUUGUUGAACGCUUCUUUGCCGUAUUUGCAAUAAACACGUCUUUGGGCUCACCAUUGCCCUCGGCCUAUAAUAGGUUGGCCUACACUCAUUAUAAUAAUA
rnacentral:lncRNA from 1 species